GUUACAAAAACACAUAAAAUUUUGAAUUUUUUUAUUUUUUUAAAAAAUAGCAAUUCCUCGUAUAAGCCGCCUUCAUCCAGAGGAUAGAGCAGGAACUAAUGUUCCACCUAACUGGGAGUAUGCCAAAUUUUGAUAAAAUUAAUUGAUAGCCCACCAGCACCAAAAAUUUUCUAAUACCAUCUUGUGAUAAAAUGAGCAAAAGAAACUUCAGAUUCUCAACCUCAUCAGAGACCGAGAAGCUUGAUAGGAUCUCUAAAUAGAGUUACAUUAUUACAUAAACGCAUGAUGAAAUUACAAUAACAGUAUCUGAUAUCAUACUUUUACAAUGGCUACCGCAUCCUAUAAGUUCGGCAAUAAGAACUCCUACAUUACACAUCUAACCUGUGGCUCUAUUAAAGCAAUGUCUGAAUGAACAAUCAGAUAGCUAUCUGUUACAACAUUAAAACUACAGUCAUCCAAGGGACUUAGCAGCCUAAAAAGGUAAGAAAGGGUGAGAUAGAAGAGGCCAGCAUCAAAUUACUCUAUUUGAUGUGCUCAAUCAAGGCUUAACCUUGCUUGGCAUCACUGCCACUUCUCCCAUUCUCAACUACCUCUCCUUCCACCUUCUCGAUCACAAUAUCCAUAUAAUUUGGUUUCUCAUUAUUGCCGUUUGCUGCUUCUUUAUCCUUGAUCUCUCCUUCAGACUUGGGAAUGCUUUCGUCAUGUUUCUCUUUGUCUUCUACUACACCUUUGUACUUCUCAUUCAGGUCUGUGCCAGCUUUAUCGAGUUCCCCACACCCAUAUUCUUUGGAAACCUCAAGCUGCUGUUGCUCAUCCUUUCCUUUAAACUUUUCAUCCUCUAUAUUUUCCUUUUUACUUUCAGAUGCCCCAGAACCAUGUGAUGUCCCCUUGGAGCGCCCAAGCUCUACUUCACCUUUUCCCUCUCCAGCUUCAUCAGAUUUGUCUGCAUCUUGUUCAACUUUAGCUUCUUCAGUAGGAGUUGAUUCUAUUUUAGCAUCAGUCUCUAGUGGUUUUUCUUUAUUCUCUUCCAGAUUUCCUUUCACAUCCUCCUUUCCAGCUUCCACUUCUGCAUCAUCCUUUCCGGUUUUUCCAGCUUCCUGCAUUUGAAUUUCUUUUGUCUCCUCAGCUCCUUCUGGUGCAGUUUCUGUUUCUUUGUUCUCCUUUUUAGAAGCUGAUGAUUUCCUGCUUCGUUUCCUUGGGGUUUCAGUUUCAGGGGUUAGAGCUGCCUUUGCCUUCUCACUAAUCCGUGCUGAUCGUCUAGGGGUCUCACCAGUGCCCCAAUCAAACUCAGAUGCAGCUGGACCACCAGGGUGUGCUUUGAGAUAUUGUUCCAACUGUCUUCUGCCUGUGAUUUCCUCCCCAGUUGGGGCAGUGAAUAUGAUUUCAUUUUUCUUAGGGGUCCCACUCUUCUUGGGCACGAACUGCACAAGAACAUAAAUCAACUUGUGGACUAGAUUGACCAGAACAAAGAGCCAAAAAGGUAUAGGGAAAAAAGGCAAUAUUAAGGAUCUUUUAAAUCUGGAAUUUCCAAUCAAAGAUUCUAGGCAUGGAAAUAGCCAAGUACAGCCAAACAUCAAGAACCUUCACAAAAAAUAAUCAGUGAACAAGAAAUUUCAUUCUACAAUUAUAAUAUCAUAACCAAAAACAGUGGGAUGAAAUCCUGUCACUAAACUAACUUGUUCAGCCAUCAUAGGAUUUGAAAAACUCCAAGUCAGCUACUCGCCUUCUUUUUCCAGCCAGGAGGAGCAGGAAGUUCUACAGAGAAAUCCUCCUCUGUUAUCGAAGUAUCCUUCCCCUUCUCCACUGAACUUGCCAUUUCACCUAUCAAAUUCAAAAAUUUUCAACACCACAACACAAUAUAUACACCCAUAAUCAAAUGAACAAGCAGAGUAAUCUCUAGAGACAAAGAGAAAGCCACUAGAAAAUGGGAGAAAUUUGAAAAUUUACCAGUAGCACAUGCGAGCAGGAACUUUAUCCGCCGCUGUAUUAUCUCUUUCUCGGCAGGAGUGACCAAACAAGAUGACAAAACUACCUGACACCCGCCGUUUGAUUUUAUUUCCAGAUUUGCUCCUUUUCCUUUCGUCCGAUGACCAAUUUUUUCGUGUUGGGUAUUUUCAAAGCGUCACGGUGCCAUGUGAAAACGCCACCUGUCGCCGUUUCCACUACUCAACGCUUUGGAUCGUGCCGGUCAUUAUGUCGAUGGUGGUAAUAGUGUUUUGUUACUGUUAAAAGUUUGUCUUUUUUCGUUAAAAAUAAAAAUUCCAAACAAGUGGGAAAGAGGCCAAAUUUUAAGAUUUCCUUAGCUUUUGGGGGGAUAUUGUUUUAAUAAGAUUUUACUGAUGAAAUGUAAGAGAAUGGUUAAGAUUAUAUUGCAUCCAAAAAGAGUUUGAUACUAGAU
rnacentral:misc_RNA from 1 species